UGGCUCUGCUCUAAUUGAAAUCCCAAUUUCCCCUCCAGCCCCAGCGUCCUCAGCUGAUGUGAUGCUGCAAAGGCCCAGCUGCCACGCCGGCUCGCUCUGCCCCGUCUGCCAAACCCUCCCCGAGCCGCCGGCCUCGCUCAGGACGGACCGAAAGGCAGAGAAACGAGACCGUGAAGGUACCACGCUGGAGGCGAAGGGCUUGGUGUGCCAAAGAACCAAGGGCAGGAUACGAACGUCUGUAAGGCACAAUUAGAUAACCGGAGUUGUCCUCAGGCGCAUGUGUCCUACCAGUGGAACUCGUGCCGAGCGGAUGGCUACGUGAUCGCUGGCAGCUCUGCAGCUCUGCACGGGAGGGAGGCAGUGCCCGCAGGGAACCAGACCCGGGCGCACGAGGCUUCGCUCUCAACCCGAGGUUUGGGAGCUUGGUGGCUUCAGUAGUGUCCCCCUCCCAGCACUCUCAAACUAACGGUGCUGCUUAUCUCUCGCUGCUAGGUAAGUUAUGAGUGGCGUUUGAAAUCUAUAAAGCAGAAUAAUGAGAGUGACGAAUUUUAAGGUAGCUUGAAGACUGACAUUAAUUACCCAGUAAUUUUCUAGCUGUGAUCCAUGAAGUACUUGUUGUUGAUCCCCAGACAGAUGGCUAGUCACAUAGGAUGGGCUUCUCCUCUUUAUUUCCAUCUGCUAUAUUUCAUUAAGACAGCUAAAAAUAAAAAUAUCCCUAAUGUUAUUUUUCCA
rnacentral:lncRNA from 1 species